rnacentral:lncRNA from 1 species
GGGCAGACACACUGAAGUCGCUAGACAUUUGAGGAACACAUCCGGGGAAGAAGACACAGGUGGCUGGUCAUGGAGAGCCCGCUGGGGGAAGAGCACACAGACAGGCACCGGCAGGCCAUUGACCAGCGGGACAAGGUGGGCUCAAUGUCAUCACAAGGGUGCUUAAGAGGGAAAGAGGAAGCCAUGAGGGUCAGAGUCAAAGGAAGACUUGAAGAUACUACACUGCGGACUUUAAAGAUGAAGGAAGGGGCGAAAACCAAGAAUGUGGGAAGCCUCUAGAAGCUAGAGAAGGCAAGGAAACAAAUUUUCCACUAGAGCCUCCAGAAGGAACACAGCCCUGCUGACCCACUGUAAUGUCUGACCUCUAGAUGUGUAAGGGUAGUAAGACUGAAAGUCUCAGAAAGGCACUGUUAAAUUCUUAUUCCUCAACUAUGCAACUCAAAACUGGGGUCCUCAGCAGUGAGCGAGGGGUGAGAGAAGACACUGUAUAAACAUGGCACAUCCUCCUGGAAAGUCAACUUUACUCAAAGGCUGCAGGCCGUAUUAUGCUAAAUCAAGGAUACGGGGAGAUAAUUAACAUAGCAACUCUGGCAAUUUUAAUAGGUUCUUACACACAGUGACAGCUAGCAGAGUCUAAAAUGCUGACAUUAUGACUUAGAGAUGUGAUAAAGAGAAACAUCUAUUGCAUUUUCUGGCCCUGGAGCCAGACUGUCUGGGGUUUGAAAUCAGCUCCUCCACCUACCAGCUAUUGACCUCAGGUUGGGAACAUGACCUAAUGGUGUGCUACCAUGCAGCUCUUUCCAGCUCCAUGUUCAGUGACUUCAUAUUGGUUUCCACUUUUGCAUCUUGCUCACCUUCUCUUGCCACCACCAUGUAUGUCUUUAUCAGCAGCCUGAACAUGGACUAAU